CAAUUCAAUAUUUUGUUUCAUUUAUAAUAAUUUCAAACUUUUUACUCAAAUUAAUUUUAUAAUUGUAUAAGAUAAUUUUAUAGAUAAUUUUGUAAAAUGGUUAGUUCCAAGCAAUGGCAAGGUGAAUUACUGUGUUGGAUCGAUGUUGUAUGCUUAUCUGAUAUUUUGGACCCAACUUUAUGAUUCAACACGCAUAGAACAAGUGUUCAAAAAGUUGAAAUUAAGACACAAUGCGAAAAACAAAUGUUAAAAAGACAGAUAGAUGCAUAUGUAAAAUCACUUGACGAUAAGUUAAAAAUUAGGUGUGAAAAAUAUCAUCGACAUUCAAGAGAUUCGGAUUGUACUGAAGUCAAAAUUGUGGCCACUAGGCGUAUAUAUAUAUGGAUAUAAAAAUUAGUGAAUUAUACGGAAAAAUGACAUCAAUCCGGACGACUUCUUUUUAAAAGGUAUUAAAGACUACUCGGGCACGAUAUCAGAAAAUACCAAUGAGAUGAAAUUAUGGCUGGGAGCCUUGCGAAGUUAACGUAGAAAUGUGUUCAUUAAGCGAGACUGCUACUGUGAAAGUGUUCAGAAAAAUACAACCCGGUAAUGAAAUAACAAUAAGUUAUGGACCUAAUUAUUUUGGGACAGACAACAUAGAAUGGAUGUGCAUCUUCUGUGAAAUAAUAAACACUCAGAUCAUAACCAAAUCCAAAUAUAAGAUCCAAAUUAUCAAGGGGCGUACAUGAUGCCAGUUGAUGACUUCGAUAAUAGCAGAGUACAAGAAUUUCGAGAUGACAUAUGUGCACUCGACAUUGCCAAGCAUAUCGAACCUACUCAUUUUUGUAAAAAUUCGAGUGUUUAACAGAAAAGAUGUACUUCAGAGACAUAUAAAAACAGUACAUACGAUAAGAAAAGGCAUGCAUGGCAAUCAAUACCAAAAAGAUUUUAGCACAAGUUACGGUGUAACCAGGCAUAUAAAAAAAUACACAGUGGCGUGGCGCACGCUGAAAAAUAAAAAUUAAUUUCAGAUCACAAUACACCUAAUUGGUAAUUGUAGACAUUUAAUAUCAACAAUGUUUUAUAGAGGUGCCUAAUCAAAAUAUGUCAUGAAAAACAUAAUAAAAUGGUGUCACUAUUAUGAACUUGAA